AAUUUGCCGGUGUAAAGACGGUAAUAGGUGGAUUGCUAGGCUUGAGGAGAGAU
rnacentral:rRNA from 1 species